rnacentral:hammerhead_ribozyme from 1 species
AUUCAGCUGACGAAUUCCAAAUAGAAUGAAACAUUUGUCCUAGAU